UAGUAAUGGCGAAUGAAAUGGGAAAAGCUCAAUUUUAAAAUCUUUAUUUAAUAAAGAAUUGUAGUUUGUGAAAAAUUUUUUAACUUAUAAUAUAUAGAUUAAUUUUAUUUGGAAAAAUAAAGCAAAGAGGGUUAAACUCCCGUAUAAAUUUAUAUUAUUAUAAUUAUAAAAAAAUUUUUUUAGAGUCAGAUUGUUUGGGAUUACAGUCUAAAUUAGGAGGUAAAUUUCUUUUAAAGCUAAAUAUUGAUAAGAGACCGAUAGCGAACAAGUACCGUAAGGGAAAGAUGAAAUAGAACCUUGGAAAGGGGUUUAAAUAGAAAGUGAAAUCGUUAAGAGGGAAACAUUUAAAACUCGAAUAAAAUAUUAUAGUUAAAAUUUUUAUAAAAAUUCUAUAUUAUAAUAUUUUAAAUAUUAAUUAUUAUUAAAAUUUUAUUAAAAUAGUUAGUAUAAUAAUAUAAUGGAAUAUUUUUAAUAUUUCAUUAAUAAAAAUAUUAAUUUAUAAUAAAAUUUUGAUAAUUAAAAUAAUGGUUCUUAAAUUAUUUUUAAUUAAUUAAUAUAAUAAUUGUUAUAAUUUUUGUAGUAAAAUAUGAAUUUUGUAAUGUAUUAAUAUAAUAAUUAUAUUAAUUAAAUUUAGGGAUUUUUAAAAUUAAUAAUAUUUAGAGUGUUUAAAUGACCCGUCUUGAAACACGGACCAAGGAGUCUAACAUAUUUGCGAGUAUUAUAAAAAUAAUAAAUUAUAAUACGAAAUGAAAGUAAAUUUUUACAAAGAUAAGAAUUUUUAUAAAUGCAUUAUCAACCGAUUGAAUAAAAUAUAUAUUUUAUUAAUUUGAGUAAGAGUAAAUAUGUUGGGACCCGAAAGAUGGUGAACUAUGCUUGAAUAGGGUGAAGUCAGAGGAAACUCUGAUGGAAGCUCGUAGCGAUUCUGACGUGCAAAUCGAUCGUAAAAUUNGAGUAUAGGGGCGAAAG
rnacentral:rRNA from 1 species